CUUUAAGUGAAUAUUGAUCACCACCUGUUUUUAAUUGGCCUCAUUUGAUACGUGAGAAUAAACAAAGCAAGCAAUGUGGGUGAAACCGAUCAGAAAGCGUGGCAGUUACCUCGCCUAGAUACAUUGGCGACCUGUCCAAGUUGUACACGACCCGUCUCUCGCCCAGUGCAUGCUGGGAUACACUGUUGAAUCCACGCAGCCCCAGGCGACUUGGUUCAAGCCUGGAGGGUGAAAACAGGCUGCUACUGUGAGGCGACUGAAGGGCUCUCCUCACGGCGCAGACUCCAAUGAGGUCCAUCCACUCGGCAUCCCCCCGGGCCCAGCAGUGUGCGUGAAUGGACAUUAAAAAGAGCUGGU
rnacentral:lncRNA from 1 species